GUACACUCCUGCGGGAGGCAGCAGUGGGGAAUAUUGCACAAUGGGCGCAAGCCUGAUGCAGCCAUGCCGCGUGUAUGAAGAAGGCCUUCGGGUUGUAAAGUACUUUCAGCGGGGAGGAAGGCGAUAAGGUUAAUAACCUUGUUGAUUGACGUUACCCGCAGAAGAAGCACCGGCUAACUCCGUGCCAGCAGCCGCGGUAAUACGGAGGGUGCAAGCGUUAAUCGGAAUUACUGGGCGUAAAGCGCACGCAGGCGGUCUGUCAAGUCGGAUGUGAAAUCCCCGGGCUCAACCUGGGAACUGCAUUCGAAACUGGCAGGCUAGAGUCUUGUAGAGGGGGGUAGAAUUCCAGGUGUAGCGGUGAAAUGCGUAGAGAUCUGGAGGAAUACCGGUGGCGAAGGCGGCCCCCUGGACAAAGACUGACGCUCAGGUGCGAAAGCGUGGGGAGCAAACAGGAUUAGAAACCCGAGUAGUCCCAUGA
rnacentral:rRNA from 1 species